UAGGGAAUCUUCCACAAUGGACGCAAGUCUGAUGGAGCAACGCCGCGUGAGUGAAGAAGGUUUUCGGAUCGUAAAGCUCUGUUGUUGGUGAAGAAGGAUAGAGGUAGUAACUGGCCUUUAUUUGACGGUAAUCAACCAGAAAGUCACGGCUAACUACGUGCCAGCAGCCGCGGUAAUACGUAGGUGGCAAGCGUUGUCCGGAUUUAUCGGGCGUAAAGCGAGCGCAGGCGGAAGAAUAAGUCUGAUGUGAAAGCCCUCGGCUUAACCGAGGAACUGCAUCGGAAACUGUUUUUCUUGAGUGCAGAAGAGGAGAGUGGAAUUCCAUGUGUAGCGGUGGAAUGCGUAGAUAUAUGGAAGAACACCAGUGGCGAAGGCGACUCUCUGGUCUGCAACUGACGCUGAGGCUCGAAAGCAUGGGUAGCGAACAGG
rnacentral:rRNA from 1 species